ACCAGCAGCCAUACCCAGCUCAACACGCGCUACCAAUCGAGGGUGCUCAAUCCUCACAACAAUAAAAUCAAGAUCAUAGCAGACAGCCUCAACAACAGCAAACAAACUAUGGCAAUGGAUAGAGAGGUGGUCACGCCGGAAGAGGAAGAGGCCGAGGGAGAGGAUCUCCGAGGCCGCACAUUAAAAACAAUCAACCUCGAAUGUUCUAUUGCACUUUUCACGGCAAGCAACUAGAUCAUGCGAUCGACUUCUACCCAGAAACAAAAAGGACCUUUGAAAGAAUAGCUAAAGAAAAAAGAGCAGCUGCAUUACCUAAAACAUCCACCAUACCUCUUUUUGGCCACAACAGCCAUAUUUCCAAGCUUACCCACACACAAACCCAAAUACUAACCUCGCAAACUCCUUUUCCAAUCCUUCGUUCAACUACCAACCCACCAUGAUGUGGCAACCCUCGCCUCAGUAUCAACCUCAAAGUCAGCAAGCCUCGCAAACUGUUAGCUUCGCACCUCCUCAGCCUCUACAUGAGAUACCACUACCUCCACCAAACCUACCUAAUCAAAUACCCAAAGCUGAACCUAACAAUAUUCAAAACAACAACCCCAAAGCCUUACGCACCUACAGCAUGAUAAUGCCAAUAUUUGGAGGAUCCUGCAACUCGAAAACCCAGAAACCAAUUCAAACACCUUGCCCACCUAUGACAUGAUCAUGCCAAUAGCAGGUGGAUCCUCUCUAGAGUUCGAGAACAAAAGACAGACAAAACUACUUUAGACAAGUAAAUUCCAUCAUCCCCGAUGGGCCACUAGCCAAGCUAGGAUGGGUACCCAUGCCCAUCUCC
rnacentral:lncRNA from 1 species